UCCUACGGGGAUGUGACCCACGCCCGGCAAAUCACGGAGGACGGGCUCUACUACGGAGGGGAUCUGAAGAGUGCGGCGCACAAAGUCACCGAGGGGACCGGCACGGGCUUCA
rnacentral:SRP_RNA from 1 species